GUGCCUAGUGCUACGUUGAUUUGGUCUUCAGUCUUGAUAAUAUAACCGAACCGACCGAAUAUAGUCACCAGUCGUCGUCAAAGUAGUCUGUGCCGUCGUCUUGGUCGGUUUUGUCGUUGUUGUCUCCGAGUUCUUGACUUUUUAUUUCAGUUAUUUUUGUACUUACUGUUUCUAUAUAGUAUAUAUUGUAGCAGUAGUACCUACCUACCUACAAGUAUAACGGUUGUUUGCGUGUUGCGUGCCCACCGAUGAUUGUCGGCGCGGGAGGGGAACGAAGGGAACGACCAAACGAUUAUUUAAUUUACAAGCAUUCCACUUUAGUCUGCUGAUGCGUGUGAACAGAAAUUGAAAUCUAUAUGGAUAUAUACAUAUGUUUAUGUAUUUAUAUUAUUGCUCUUAUACAAUAAUAUGGCCACAAACAAUUUGUGCAACUUUUAAUUAAAGUACUUUAGUGACAAAGGUUAAAAAAACAACAACAACAACAAAAACAAAAAACCGAAAUCAUAGUUCAAUCUCCGAUCAGCUGUUAUCAAGUGCAACAAAAAAAAUGGGUUAUUUGACCGAUGUACAUUUGAGGGGCUUCGAGCGCUACAAGUAUAACAGCAUAGACACGAGUUUUCUUAGUGUCUAUGUAAUGCAUCCAUUUUGGAAUGCCUGCGUCAAGUACCUGCCCAAAUGGUUAGCACCAAAUAUACUCACAUUUGUUGGUUUUCUUAUGACUGUUGUGAAUUUCAUUUUAUUGGCCUACUACGAUUGGAAUUUUGACGCAGCAAAUGAUAAAGAAGUGGGUAACACUGUACCUGCCUGGGUAUGGACAGUGGCGGCUAUCAAUAUAUUGAUAUACUAUAAUUUGGAUGGCAUGGAUGGAAAACAAGCUCGUCGUACUGGAACGAGUGGUCCUUUAGGGGAAUUAUUUGAUCAUGGGCUGGAUUCAUAUUCGGCCGCUCUCAUACCCAUAUAUUUAUUCUCAUUAUUUGGCACAGUCGAUUUGCCACCCAUACGCAUGUUCUUUGUCAUUUGGAAUGUGUUUCUCAAUUUCUAUUUAACGCACGUGGAGAAAUAUAAUACCGGCGUGAUGUUCUUACCCUGGGGUUAUGACUUCACCAUGUGGGGUGUCAGCGGCAUGCUGUUUGUGGCCACUUUAUUGGGUCCUGGUAUCUAUCGUUGGGAUUACCAUGGUUUCACAGUGGCAAAUAUCUUUGAGGUUGUUCUCAUUGGUUCAGGCAUGGUAACUAGUCAUCCCUUUAUUGCUAGAAACAUUUAUCUUUCGUAUAAAAAUAAAACUGGUAAAAUGCGUCCCACGAUGGAAAUGUUGCGACCUUUCUUUGCCUUCCUUUGGCUAUUUGUGAUUACCACAAUUUGGUCAUUCUUUUCACGAAAUAAUGUGAUCAAUUUGGAGCCACGAAUCCUGUGGAUACUCUAUGGAACAAUAUUCUCAAAUAUUGCAUGCCGAUUGAUAGUGGCUCAAAUGUCCGAUACUCGCUGCGAUGGCUUCAAUAUACUCAUGUGGCCACUUGCGGCUACUGUUGGUGUCUGUUGCUUUCCCUACUACCAGGAAAUACUCGGUGAAGAUCUACCAGCUGAGUAUGAGCGAUGGAUUGUUCAGGGUCUAACCAUAUUUUCGACUCUAGCUCAUUGGCAUUACGGAUAUGGUGUGGUGUCCGAAAUGUGCAAUCAUUUUCAUAUUAAAUGCUUCAAAGUAAGAACACCAAGUAGCCAAACGGCAGAGUUACUACAACAAAAUAAUAACAAAUUCAAAAGCCAUUGAAAGAGCUAAAAAAAAACAACAACAAAACAUUAUUAAAAAAAGAAAAGAAAACUAACUAACAAUUUUGUGAUACACAUUAUGGGAAAACAUUAAUAACUCUUACCUCGCCACACCCACCCACCCACCACCAUCUGAGCUAGCCCCUAAGGUUCUAAGUCUAAGUGGUCCAUAAACGAAAUUCUCAAAUUAAAACAAAAACAAACAAAAAAAAAAUGAAAAAAUAAAACAUGAUUAGAAAUUGAUACUCUAAUGCGGUUGAUAACAUGAUCAAAAACCCACCAGUGCCCGUCGAAGUGAAAAUGAACGAAGAGCCG